AAAUUUCUGAUUCUUUAUCUACAACUACGAGGUUUUUUCGUAGAGUUCUCUGUUUUAUUAUUUGUUUUAUUCUGGUAAAAUUAUCUUGUACACCUCAAAUCUAUAUUAUAAAGAUAUCCACGUAGGCAAGCGUGUCGGGACCCACUGGAAAAAUGUGUUUGCGUUUUGAACUCAGCGUAUAUUUAUGGAGUGGGCUGGUUGUGUUUUGCUUAAAGAACAGUGUAUAUCUCGCGAUUACCUUCAAGAUCUUGAUUAUACGCUGUUGUGUUUUGCUGUUCUCUUAUAUCUCGCGGCUUUCAUGUUGUGUUUUACUUUUUGGGUAUUGAUUUAUGGAGUGGGCUGGUUGAUUAACUUUUAUGUUUGUUUACGUACAAAACCUGUGGCCCAACAAGGUUAAGAAUAGAUAUUUACAACCAAGGUCUCUUCUCUUCGUUAUCUUUAUGUUCUAUGGAGCAGUGAAUCUUCUGCUACAUCUUCAUCUUCCAUUCUUAGAGCAAGAGCAUCAGUGAACCCCCCUUGGGGUUCAUCUUUUCAAUUUUUUAUUAUUAAUUUUUUUUCUUUUUCUUUUUGAUUAAAAAAAAAAAAAAAAACCAGACCAAUCGCGGGCCGCCACGACACGUGGGGUCCACGCUACAGUGUUGAACUUUAGGAGAGAGGGGUUCAUGCGGGAGAGACGGGACGAGCCGAGGUCAUCGGUUAUGCUUAUUUUAAAUUUUUUUUUUCCGUAAAACCUGCGACCCCCCUUGUGAACCCCCCCCCCCCCCGGCUGCGCAUGCCGGGAUGAUUAAUGCUUCGAAAUCCUAACACUUCGGUUAUUCCUUCCUGUAUAUAACCUCAUCAUAAGAACUGAAACGUUUCAUCUCAAAUCCAGUAAUCACCGUCAGAGAUUUACAGCAAGCUUCCAACCCUCUCUCUCAAGUGACAGUCUCGCAAGAAGACGCCGAUUAAUUAAUUUUGUGGUCUUCUUCAUCCUGAAAAGACGAACUUCUUAGUCGAUUAGACCGGGACGGCUAUUUACACGUGGAUUGGCGGAAGAGCGUAUCUGACUCGAUCCAAAAAGUUCUGGAGGCGGAUCAUCGGAAUCAUCACCUCUUGAUUCAGAAGCAAGCCCACAUGCAAAUCAGAACCUAGGAGAGGCUGGUGUCAACUUUUACGCUCUGUGAGUCACAGAAUGUGACGUUGGUCAGAUAAAAAAGAGCAAAUGGAUGACGUGUCAGCUACACCAACGUCAAAGAUCUGAAGAAAGUUUCCAUGGCCACCGCUUCUGUCAUAUAUGACUCAGUGAACUUCUCCAUCUUACCUGUUACACUUGGAAAACAUUCCACCUUAUUGCUUCGUCUCCUUGAAGAUCGUUUCAUCAUCAUAGUUGCUUACUGAACGCAACAGCGACAACUACCGUGAUUUAAUUUCCAGUGGCAAGAAAGUGACAUAGAUGUUUGAGAAGGAGGCAGUACAAGAGAACGAAGGAGAGAAGAGGAUAUUCCCAAAGGCAAGAAGAUGAUUCUAAAAAAAAGAAGAGAAAGUCUGUUCUUCAGUCAUCUACGUGAUGAUUUUUGUUUUUAGCUGCGAGCAAAUAAUGAAGGUGGGGCACUAGGUUUGCGUUUGAGAAGAUAAAAAAAAGCAACUCCAGAGUUUGAGAAGAUAAAAAAAAUGUCACCACCAGCGCUCACUUAGCUUUGGUGUCUUUUAUUAUUGCUAAUUUCCUAUGUUUUUUUUUUCAUUUUGAACUUUGGUAGCGUCUUGCAUUUUCUGCAAACUCUCUCUCCCCCGGAGACGAGUAACUUUAUUUAUAAAUAAUAAUG